rnacentral:lncRNA from 1 species
UUUCAUGUGCCCAUUAAUUCCUGUUGGUCUAUAUCGCCCAAAAUUGCGCAGAAAAAUAGACAACAUUGACUAGAGGAAUUAUUUUUUAAAGAACCGGGUAACCCAGUCUAGAAAACCUAGAUUUUCAAUUGAGCUAGGCCAUGCAUAUUGUAAUUGUUACCAAAUCUCUUUGAUCGCAGGGCAAUCCCUAAAAGCAUGCUCUAAAGUCUCCGUUGAAUUUGCACAUUUAGGACAAACAGUUUCAUUUGAUAAUCGCUUGUAAUAUAAAUUACAUAGAGUAGGGAUAUAAUUCUUCGAGCAUCUUUAGAAUGUAAUUUUCAAUUUGGUG